UAAGUUUCAGAUCACCAUAAAAAUGGUGGAAAUCAUACCUGGUUUCCUCGGAAGUUCAUGGUUCCACCAACAAGGGACAAAAGAGAUGCAGAAUAUUUGUGGUAAUUCUUCUCCUGUCUCAAGAGAGAUCUAAAGUUUCCAAUGUUUGAAUAGACAGUUUAGAAGAUGCUGCAUCACUCAACACUUCUGUCUGAGGGGAAGAUUGAGGGAACCCAGAAUUCCACAAGAGCUUGUCUACCAGCGUUCAGAUCUCAGGAGUAUGGCCGAGUGCAAAGCUGCAUUCAUGGAGACAAAAGUUCUUACCCUGCAGGAUAAGAGACUUUGCUCCUUCAGACCCACCACAUGCAUCCUAGGGAAUCUAAAGUGUCAUUUCCUCUCUGGAAGAAAGGAAGCACAAAACAUGC